rnacentral:rRNA from 1 species
UACGAAGGGGGCUAGCGUUGCUCGGAAUCACUGGGCGUAAAGGGUGUGUAGGCGGUUGUUUAAGUUUGGUGUGAAAUCUCCCGGCUCAACUGGGAGGGUGCGCCGAAUACUGAAUGACUUCGAGUGCGGGAGAGGAGAGUGGAAUUCCUGGUGUAGCGGUGAAAUGCGUAGAUAUCAGGAGGAACACCGGUGGUGUAGACGGCUCUCUGGACCGUAACUGACGCUGAGACACGAAAGCGUGGGUAGCAAACAGG